rnacentral:rRNA from 1 species
AGUGGCGGACGGGUGAGUAACACGUGAGAAUCUGGCUUCAGGUCGGGGACAACAGUGGGAAACCGCUGCUAAUACCGGAUGUGCCCAAGGGUGAAGGAUUUAUCGCCUGAAGAUGAGCUCGCGACUGAUUAGCUAGUUGGUAGGGUAAGAGCCUACCAAGGCCAUGAUCAGUAACUGGUCUGAGAGGAUGACCAGUCACACUGGGACUGAGACACGGCCCAGACUCCUACGGGAGGCAGCAGUGGGGAAUUUUGGACAAUGGGCGCAAGCCUGAUCCAGCCAUGCCGCGUGCGGGAAGAAGGCCUUCGGGUUGUAAACCGCUUUUGUCGGGGAAGAAACGGCUCAGGUUAAUACCUGGGGCUAAUGACGGUACCCGAAGAAUAAGCACCGGCUAACUACGUGCCAGCAGCCGCGGUAAUACGUAGGGUGCGAGCGUUAAUCGGAAUUACUGGGCGUAAAGCGUGCGCAGGCGGCUUUGCAAGACAGGUGUGAAAUCCCCGGGCUUAACCUGGGAAUUGCAUUUGUGACUGCGGAGCUGGAGUACGGCAGAGGGGGAUGGAAUUCCGCGUGUAGCAGUGAAAUGCGUAGAUAUGCGGAGGAACACCGAUGGCGAAGGCAGUCCCCUGGGCCUGUACUGACGCUCAUGCACGAAAGCGUGGGGAGCAAAC